AGCGAACGCUGGCGGCAGGCCUAACACAUGCAAGUCGAACGAACCUUUCGGGGUUAGUGGCGGACGGGUGAGUAACACGUGGGAACGUGCCUUUAGGUUCGGAAUAACUCAGGGAAACUUGUGCUAAUACCGAAUGUGCCCUUCGGGGGAAAGAUUAAUCGCCUUUAGAGCGGCCCGCGUCUGAUUAGCUAGUUGGUUGAGGUAAUGGCUCACCAAGGCGACGAUCAGUAGCUGGUCUGAGAGGAUGAUCAGCCACAUUGGGACUGAGACACGGUCCAAACUCCUACGGGAGGCAGCAGUGGGGAAUCUUGCGCAAUGGGCGAAAGCCUGACGCAGCCAUGCCGCGUGAAUGAUGAAGGUCUUAGGAUUGUAAAAUUCUUUCACCGGGGACGAUAAUGACGGUACCCGGAGAAGAAGCCCCGGCUAACUUCGUG
rnacentral:rRNA from 1 species